GUUUACAACAUUUACAUCGAAAUUGAUAUAAAGAUUUACCUAAUAUCGUAUUAUAUUCUGUCAAUUUAAAAUAUAGUCAACUUUUUCAUCCAAUCAAUUCCCUCCAAAUCACUCUCUAGCAUUACUUCUGAACUCUGUCUUCUGAACCAUCAGCAUAAUUCUUGAACUAAACGUUAAAAUUGUACACAUUGAAGAGCUUUUAAUAAGAAAUUUAUUCUAAUAAAUUAAGCU
rnacentral:lncRNA from 1 species